CCUACGGGGGGCAGCAGUGGGGAAUAUUGGACAAUGGGGGGAACCCUGAUCCAGCCAUGCCGCGUGUGUGAAGAAGGCCCUCGGGUUGUAAAGCACUUUCAGUGAGGAAGAACGCCUGGUGGUUAAUACCCAUCAGGAAAGACAUCACUCACAGAAGAAGCACCGGCUAACUCCGUGCCAGCAGCCGCGGUAAUACGGAGGGUGCGAGCGUUAAUCGGAAUUACUGGGCGUAAAGCGCGCGUAGGUGGCUUGAUAAGCCGGUUGUGAAAGCCCCGGGCUCAACCUGGGAACGGCAUCCGGAACUGUCAAGCUAGAGUGCAGGAGAGGAAGGUAGAAUUCCCGGUGUAGCGGUGAAAUGCGUAGAGAUCGGGAGGAAUACCAGUGGCGAAGGCGGCCUUCUGGACUGACACUGACACUGAGGUGCGAAAGCGUGGGUAGCAAACAGGUUUAGAUACCCUAGUAGUC
rnacentral:rRNA from 1 species